GACGAACGCUGGCGGCGUGCCUAAUACAUGCAAGUAGAACGCUAAAGGAGGAGCUUGCUUCUCUGGAUGAGUUGCGAACGGGUGAGUAACGCGUAGGUAACCUGCCUGGUAGCGGGGGAUAACUAUUGGAAACGAUAGCUAAUACCGCAUAAUAGUAGUUGUUGCAUGACAACUGUUUGAAAGGUGCAAUUGCAUCACUACCAGAUGGACCUGCGUUGUAUUAGCUAGUUGGUGGGGUAACGGCUCACCAAGGCGACGAUACAUAGCCGACCUGAGAGGGUGAUCGGCCACACUGGGACUGAGACACGGCCCAGACUCCUACGGGAGGCAGCAGUAGGGAAUCUUCGGCAAUGGACGGAAGUCUGACCGAGCAACGCCGCGGGAGUGAAGAAGGUUUUCGGAUCGUAAAGCUCUGUUGUAAGAGAAGAACGAGUGUGAGAGUGGAAAGUUCACACUG
rnacentral:rRNA from 1 species